GCCAGCAUGGAAUAGUGGACUAGCAUUAGACUACAACUCUGGAGAUUAGGGUUCAAUUCCCUGCUUAGCCA